GUGCUCCCCCGCCAAUUCCUUUAAGUUUCAGCCUUGCGACCGUACUUCCCAGGCGGUACGUUUCACGAUUUCUCUUCGGCACCUCGGUGACUCGUGGUCACCGAUACACCUAACGCACAUCGUUUACGGCUGGGACUACCCGGGUAUCUAAUCCGGUUUGCUCCCCCAGCUUUCGUCCCUCACUGUCGGAGCCGUCCUGGUGAGACGCCUUCGCCACAGGUGGUCCCCCAAGGAUUACAGGAUUUCACUCCUACCCCUGGAGUACCUCUCACCUCUUCCGGUCCCUAGUCUGCCAGUAUCCCUGAGACGCCUUCCGGUUAAGCCGGAAGAUUUCCCCAGAGACUUAACAAACCAGCUACGAACGCUUUAAGCCCAGUAAUAGUGGCCACCACUCGAGCCGCCGGUAUUACCGCGGCGGCUGGCACCGGUCUUGCCCGACCCUUUCUUCACCAGUUUUUUAAACUGGUGGACAGCCCGAUUUAACGGGCACUCAGAGUUCCCUUAUCACGGUUUCCCGCAUUGUAAAGUUUUCGCGCCUGCUGCACCCCGU
rnacentral:rRNA from 1 species